rnacentral:rRNA from 1 species
CCUACUGGACGCAGCAGUGAGGAAUAUUGGUCAAUGGCCGGAAGGCUGAACCAGCCAAGCCGCGUGAAGGACGAAGGUGCCAAGCAUUGUAAACUUCUUUUGUCAAGGGACACACUCAGGCUCGAGAGCCUGACCGAGGGUACUUGAAGACAAAGCAUCGGCUAACUCCGUGCUAGCAGCGGCGGUACUACGGGUGAUGCGAGCGUUCUCCGGAUUUAUUGUGUGUAAAGGGUGCGUAGGCGGACUGUUAAGUUAGCGGUAAAAUCCCGGGGGUAAAGCCCGGCGAGCCGUUGAAACUGGCUGUCUUGAGAUGUCGAGAGGUAUGCGGAAUGCGAAGUGUAGCGGUGAAAUGCGUAGAUAUUGCGCAGAACUCCGAUUGCGAAGGCAGCAUACCGGCGGCGAUCUGACGCUGAGGCACGAAAGCGUGGGUAUCGAACAGGAUUAGAUACCCUUGUAGUC